GACGAACGCUGGCGGCGUGCUUAACACAUGCAAGUCGAACGGAAAGGCCCUGCUUGCAGGGUACUCGAGUGGCGAACGGGUGAGUAACACGUGGGUGAUCUGCCCUGCACUUCGGGAUAAGCCUGGGAAACUGGGUCUAAUACCGGAUAGGAGCCAUUUUUAGUGUGAUGGUUGGAAAGUUUUUUCGGUGUAGGAUGAGCUCGCGGCCUAUCAGCUUGUUGGUGGGGUAAUGGCCUACCAAGGCGGCGACGGGUAGCCGGCCUGAGAGGGUGGACGGCCACAUUGGGGCUGAGAUACGGCCCAGACUCCUACGGGAGGCAGCAGUGGGGAAUAUUGGACAAUGGGCGCAAGCCUGAUGCAGCGACGCCGCGUGGGGGAUGACGGCCUUCGGGUUGUAAACUCCUUUCGCUAGGGACGAAGCUUUUUGUGACGGUACCUAGAUAAGAAGCACCGGCUAACUACGUG
rnacentral:rRNA from 1 species